rnacentral:rRNA from 1 species
AUUGAACGCUGGCGGCAGGCUUAACACAUGCAAGUCGAACGGUAACAGGGGGGUAGCUUGCUACUUUGCUGACGAGUGGCGGACGGGUGAGUAAGGUAUGGGAAUUUGCCGAAUGGAGGGGGACAACAGUUGGAAACGGCUGCUAAUACCGCAUAACGUCGCGAGACCAAAGGGUGGGGACUUUCGGGUCCGACCCUCGCCACUUUGUAUGAGCCCACUAAUUGAGGAAUUUAAGUCUAGUUUGGGUUGGUUGGG